UACGUAGGGGGCAAGCGUUAUCCGGAUUUACUGGGUGUAAAGGGAGCGUAGACGGAUUAACAAGUCUGAUGUGAAAGGCAGGGGCUCAACCCCUGGACUGCAUUGGAAACUGCCAGUCUUGAGUGCCGGAGAGGUAAGCGGAAUUCCUAGUGUAGCGGUGAAAUGCGUAGAUAUUAGGAGGAACACCAGUGGCGAAGGCGGCUUACUGGACGGCAACUGACGUUGAGGCUCGAAAGCGUGGGGAGCAAACAGG
rnacentral:rRNA from 1 species